rnacentral:rRNA from 1 species
GUAAUCGCGGAUCAGCACGCCGCGGUGAAUACGUUCCCGGGCCUUGUACACACCGCCCGUCACACCAUGGAAGUCUGCAAUGCCCGAAGCCGGUGGCCUAACCACUUAUGUGGAAGGAGCCGUCUAAGGCAGGGCAGAUGACUGGGGUGAAGUCGUAACAAGGUAGC